rnacentral:rRNA from 1 species
GACGAACGCUGGCGGCGUGCUUAACACAUGCAAGUCGAACGGAAAGGCCCUGCUUUUGUGGGGUGCUCGAGUGGCGAACGGGUGAGUAACACGUGAGUAACCUGCCCUUGACUUUGGGAUAACUUCAGGAAACUGGGGCUAAUACCGGAUAGGAGCUCCUGCUGCAUGGUGGGGGUUGGAAAGUUUCGGCGGUUGUGGAUGGACUCGCGGCUUAUCAGCUUGUUGGUGGGGUAGGGGCUUACCAAGGCUUUGACGGGUAGCCGGCCUGAGAGGGUGACCGGCCACAUUGGGACUGAGAUACGGCCCAGAAUCCUACGGGAGGCAGCAGUGGGGAAUAUUGCACAAUGGGCGGAAGCCUGAUGCAGCAACGCCGCGUGCGGGAUGACGGCCUUCGGGUUGUAAACCGCUUUCGACUGUGACGAAGCGUGAGUGACGGUAAUGGGUAAAGAAGCACCGGCUAACUACGUG